rnacentral:rRNA from 1 species
UACGUAGGGACCGAGCGUUGUCCGGAUUCAUUGGGCGUAAAGAGCUCGUAGGCGGCCAACUAAGUCAGACGUGAAAUCCCUCGGCUUAACCGGGGAACUGCGUCUGAUACUGGAUGGCUUGAAUCCGGGAGAGGGAUGCGGAAUUCCAGGUGUAGCGGUGAAAUGCGUAGAUAUCUGGAGGAACACCGGUGGCGAAGGCGGCAUCCUGGACCGGCAUUGACGCUGAGGCGCGAAAGCGUGGGGAGCAAACAGG